CAAACGACUCUCGGCAACGGAUAUCUCGGCUCUCGCAUCGAUGAAGAACGUAGCGAAAUGCGAUACUUGGUGUGAAUUGCAGAAUCCCGCGAACCAUCGAGUCUUUGAACGCAAGUUGCGCCCGAAGCCAUUAGGUUGAGGGCACGUCUGCCUGGGCGUCUCAC
rnacentral:rRNA from 1 species